UUUCCUCUGAGCCGCGCCAUAGCCCUGUGCUGUUAGGCAGCUGGGCGUCACCCCUGUGUGAGAGGUGGAAACUCAAAGACGCUUCUUGAUUUGUGUGGGUGAUUUACGUGGACAGAGUGGUGAACUAGGACCUGAGCUUGGGUGAAUUGCUGAAACUUAACAAUAAAAUGAUAAGAACUGAGAUUUGGUGAUUAAAAAAAAGUAUCUACACAGAUAGUCUGUUUCAAUUAUACCUUGCAAAUAAAUACAAAUAGCUCUAGAAAUACUUUUAUUUUACUCCUUGGUCAGUAAAAAUACCUAUAAGAAAAUCAGAGAUACCAGCCAUUAGUAGAAGUAUUACCUUUUUGCUGUCGAAGAGGAAGUGAACACUAAUCAGAAUUAAUACUGACAUAAUUUGUGCCGGAGCAUAAACUGUGUUAGUAAAAUGAGAGUUUCUACUAAAUCUACAGAAAUAACAUAGAGCAUCUGGCAGCAUUUUUUUUAUAGUUUUCAGGAACAAAUAUCAGUCAUGUUCUAACUAAUUAUAGGACCUUUCCUCCACAGAUGGCUUACUUGGUGUAUAAU
rnacentral:lncRNA from 1 species